rnacentral:rRNA from 1 species
GACGAACGCUGGCGGCGUGCUUAACACAUGCAAGUCGAGCGAUGAAACACCUUCGGGUGCGGAUUAGCGGCGAACGGGUGAGGAACACGUGAGGAAUCUGCCUUCCACUCUGGGAUAACUCCGGGAAACCGGGGCUAAUACCGGAUACUUUCAACUGGCGGCAUCGCCGGUUGAAGAAAGUUUUUCGGUGGAAGAUGACCUCGCGGCCUAUCAGCUUGUUGGUGAGGUAAAGGCUCACCAAGGCGACGACGGGUAGCCGGCCUGGGAGGGCGAACGGCCACACUAGGACUGAGACACGGCCCAGACUCCUACGGGAGACAGCAGUGGGGAAUAUUGGGCAAUGGAGGAAACUCUGACCCAGCGACGCCGCGUGAGGGAUGAAGGCCUUCGGGUUGUAAACCUCUUUCAGCAGGGAAUAAGCGAAAGUGAAGGUACCUGCAGAAGAAGCACCGGCUAACUAUGUGCCAGCCGCCGCCGUAA